UGCGUAGGCGGUUGGGUAAGUCAGAGGUGAAAUUCCGGGGCUCAACCCUCGGAACUGCCUUUGAUACUGCCUGACUAGAGUACUGGAGAGGAGACUGGAAUUCACGGUGUAGCAGUGAAAUGCGUAGAUAUCGUGAGGAAGACCAGUGGCGAAGGCGAGUCUCUGGACAGUUACUGACGCUGAGGCACGAAGGCGUAGGGGAGCAAACG
rnacentral:rRNA from 1 species